GCUUCUCUGAAAAAUUCAAAUCGCCCUUACAUUUUUUGGAAGUCAAAAUAUCUUUGUCGACGUCUUGCCUUUGAAUCAAUAUAGUUGGCAUUCAGUGAUUUCUCCUUCCACUGAUAAGAAAAAGCUAUACUUUUAAAACAUUAUAAGAUCUAUUAAAAAACAUUUUUUUUUUUGCUUUCUAAAAAGACAAAGAACAACAACAACAAAAAUUCUGCCAUCAACAUUCUUUCUUUCCUUUUGGAAUAGCCUUCCUCUAACUGUUCAGUCUAACCCAGUCUAAAUUAAUGUUCAUCUUUACUGAGAGGCUUGACCAAUUUUACAAAUUCUAAAUUGCACGCUAUGUCAUUUAAAUUAAUACUUGUAGAACUUUUAUUCUUUUAUCUUUUUAAUUUGCAUAUAAAUUAUGUCUUUUAUUAACAGUUGUUCCCUGACAACGCGCCUGCUAGUCAUAACCAGAAUUAAUUGUCAAGUUGUAGAUGUAGAUAUAUAAUUCAUUGUUCCCAUGAAUUGCAAGACGGGCCUUAAAUUUGAUCACCUUUUACGUUCCUCCGCUGCAAAAUGUAGGGCUUAUGAGAGUUGCCCAUACUGUUUGGAUUUGUCAAUCAAUAUAUUUACCUUAUGAAUAAACUAUUUCUAAAAUCAAUUUUAACGUUAAAAUAAGUAUUUAGACAUCUAUACUUUGUUCUGAGAUCUUCAGAAUGAUUGUGUUUAUUUAUGAAUUACGUCAUAAUUAGACCGAAUAUUUCAUUCAGCUUCCGCGUAUUGAAACUACUUUCAAACUAAUCAUAUCAUAUAAAGCAUGUUAAAGGUGUCUAACUUUUUAAAAUAGCAAAUAAUUAAAUUGUUACAUUAAUUAUUCAUAUCAAAAUCGAAACUUUUUGUAUCAACAUUUAUAACGAUACAUUACUGUUGUCAGGCGUAUGAAUUCUACGCGCAUUAAUUUCGUUGUGACGCACGGAUAACUAUCCGCCCAAACGAACACACUCGACAUUCCAGAAAGGAACGCCGACAGCUGAGGAUGGAAAAUUAGACGCCAUUUUGGAAAAAUACGUAUCGUAGAUUUCUUUUUAUAUUUAAACUCUUAGGAGAGAGAUAUUUUGUUAAAAUGAAGGUUUUAAGUAAAGAAGGAAAGGAUAAUUUGACUGUUAAAUCGGAAUUAGGCGGUGCUAAAGUGUUACGAAAACUUAUUUUAAAAGCUGAAAAACGAAAAUCGUAUGCUGAAAAUUUUCAUAUUUACGCAGUAUUACAAUCGACAAUACGGAGGUUAAAGUUAGAUACUAAAUCGUUGAAAGUGAUUCGAAAUUGUAAAUUUGGAAACUCUGAAGAUAAAGGAAUGAAUCAAAACAGUAGAUCUAUAACUUGUGUUCAAAAUUCAGUCAUAAAUAUUUACGAUAUUCAUGAUCAUGAUGACGAUAAAGACCCACUGAAUUUAAAUACAUUUUUUGAGGAGUUGAACAGUAGAUGACAUACUGGGACGCAAGUUGAUGUAGAUCUAUUUAUUUUCGUUAUGUUGAUGUUAUAUAUUUUUUAAAUUGAAUUAAGCCAGAAAAGAAGUAAAAUUCUAAAAUUGUACUUGUGAUCCUGUGGGUCAUUUAUCCAGCAGGGUCCAAGUAAAUUUUGCUGGCAGAGGAAUCAGGUUUUUUGAUUCAUCAUUGGUCAUUUAUGACAUUCUUUGAAGCACUGAGAUUCAUAAGGUUAUAACACAUGCUUUCAAUAGUAUUUGAUUUAAGUUUUCUAAGGAUCAGUAAAGAUCGGGUAAAGAUCAGUAGUUUUAUUGUUUUAGAGCAAAUCGUUUUAGAUAGUAAUAGCUGAUUUAGAUAUCCAUAUUCUCAAGCAGUUUAUGAAAAGUGAACUUUUGCAUGUAAUUGACAAAAGGGUAAAUUUUUGUUGGUUGUCCCACAACACUUGUUUUAAAAUGACUAACAAAAUUUAAACUACAGGUGGAGAGCCCUUUAGGCAUCUCGAAUCUAAAUAGACAUCUAGAUUCUAUGUGUGGCUCUGUGGUAGAAUGUGGAAUAGAAUCAAGGUAUUUGAUGUUUCAGGGACAGCAAAUUGGUAGCAUUGUGAUUGUAUCCUCUUGAUUUUAAGUUGAUAUGUCUUGAUUCAAGGAUGAUAUGAGCAGUGGCAAUGUAUGUUCCAAGAAAGAUGCCUUCUGCUGAAUUAUAAAUGCUGCGUUUUUCUGUUAGUCAAUCCCGAGCCCAUCAGUAACAUUUUGAAGUGAAAAUGUGGAGGGAAUGUAAACGAAAGAAAUAAAAUCACAUGAGUAUAGCUUGCGUGACAUGUUUAUAAAUAUAUUAUGUUGCAAGUCAAAUUAAAUUUCUUUCAGAAGGUUAAAGUAAAUAUUUUUUUCAGAGAAAAUUUAAUAUGGAACAUAAUUUUAUAAAUACAGCCAACCUUGAAAUAUUGGAAUUAACAUUGAAAGAUUAAUUUCUUUAUAAGGACUAAUUAGUAAAUUUAAGGUCCUACUUUACGGCCAAUUUGUUGUGAAUCACUGAAGUUUAUUUCAGAUGUAUAAAGCUGAAACAGCAUUCAUUGAUGGGAGAUGAUAGUCCAGCCCACUAAAUGUUAAUAGAAGAAAGUUGAAUAGUCAAUUCUUGCAUAUAUUUAUCCUGAUAACCAGCAUAAGGGCUAAGUAAUGACAUCAAGUAUGACUUGAAAAGAGUUCAAUGAAAUGCCUGCUAUGAUUCAACAAAUGCCAUCAAGAUUUUAAACAAAUGUUGCUAUACUUAGGAGGUCCUUAGAAUGACGAAGAUCAUUAUUUUGGAAGUGGAAACAGCCUUAAACUCAAACCGGUAUUUAAUAGAAGUAAUGAUAACUAUCCGGGUAUGGAUAAAUGAAAUUUAGAUAAUCUUUAUAUGUACAAAAUUGAAAGGAUGACUUAUUUAGAUAAAUUAAAUGUUACCUAAUAACUUGUAUUGUUUUGUGUGCAAAGAUUAAAGACACUGAGAUUAUUCUCUGAAAGUGUGCUACCUGAUUUUAUAAUAAUCAAGCAUGUAAGUUGCAUGUAAUUAAAUAUUUUUUAAGAAAAGCAUAAGUUAGUGUUUUUAAGAAAAGUCAAAUUAAAACCAUUGAAACUCUGUUUUAAUAGAUAGUAUGUCACAAUAAUUUCUUCAAUUCAAACACUAAAUUAUCUUUAAUUCUAAACUCUGAAUGACAUACUGUAUUAGAACAUGAAACGAGUUUGUUUCAGAGGAUUAAGCAGAAAUACUGAUGUCCAGACCAGAAACACUGUAAGUCAGUGCAAAUAAAUGAAAAAAUGAUUAGAAGAAAAAGAAAGUAACUGGUCAUCUUCCAAGAAUCUUCAUCAAUUACAGUAAGAGUAUUAAUUUCAACCUGGAAUGCUAGAUGUGAGACCUGGCUUAAUUGCAAUGUUAACAUCAAUGUCUUCAUAAAUUGCCAUACAUAAACUGUUGCUGGAGAAAAGCUUAAUUUAUUAUAGAAUUUUAAGUAAUGUAGUUAAAUCACUACUAGUGAAAUGAAAAUGUUCUAAAUAAUAUACGAUGUUGUCCCUGUAUUUGCAAAAUGCCUUUGUAUGCAAUUAUUUUCAGAUUUAGGUAGCUUUAAUUACAAAAAGUUGAAACAGUACAGAUGCCCUCACUAAGCUGAAGUCGCAAGAUACAAGCCAUGAUGCAGUUCCUUAAUGGUUAAUUCUAGCAGUGAGCAUUUGUGUAUUAUUGAGAGUUCAUAUAAAAAUAUGUCCAGAUUAAAACAUUCCUUGCUAGGAAAAAGUAAUAAUUGCUAUGUAACUAGAAAAAAACAUGAUCUGAUUGUUUUAAAUGAAAAGAUAUAAGAAGAUAAGUCACCAAUUUAGUGACACAUUGCAGAAUUUAUUCAUACUCUGUUUCUUAAAUUUAUAUGACAUUUUGUUUGGAGAAUGGGAAGAUUUUUUUCAGAGGUAUAAGAUGAGUUACUGAUGACGAUGAAAUACUAAUGCGUAUCCUAAUAUGAUGAAUGUCCAUGCCUAAUAUAAUUCAGUAAGGCAAUAUGAAGUACAAUGGUCCACUUCCAAGAUUCUGUAUUGGUAUUGUUGAUGGUUAGAGUAAAGUUUUCAUAAUAGUACAUGCAUCUACAUAUAUCUCAAACUGUGUUAGGAAGCAAUAAUAUGAAAAAACAAGGUGAAUCUAUUCUAUGCAAAAAAUGAAAGAGACCGACAUAGAGAAGAAUUUGCUUCUUUUUUUUCCUGAAUGAAUAAUGCUGUAAGAAUUUCUUAGGAAGUGUUCCUAAACUAUCUGUUUCAUGACUUUUUUAAGUAUCUAUGAAAAUUACAUUUACUAGCCUAGAUCAUUUCAUUAAUAUUCUGGUAGUGAAGUAAUCCCUGUAUUUGCAAAAUGUCUUCAUCCUACAUUAUUUUCAGUUGUAUCCUGUUAAAAUACAGCUUCUAUCACAUGAAAAUAAAGUGUGUACAGGUUCUGUUAAUGUUGCUGUUUAUGGGUUCCCCUUGGUGUAACUGAGCAUUGGUAUGCACAUAAAGGCAAGAUCAAAAAUUUCCAUGCUGAUGGACUUUAGAGCAGUAGAUAUGUAUUGAAAAAUGAUUGCUUAAUAUGAUGAUGUAACUUGUCAUCUUGUAACUGUUUGAAUGGAAAAGUUUGAGUAUGCAUUUCCACCUUGAUGUAGCAGGCAUUAUGGCAGUGGCCCCAGCAAUGUUCUUCAUGAUGGAUAGGUUUCUUAAACUAUCUUUGAAGGUAGUCAUGACUUAUGAUCUUGAAAUCAAAUGGUUAAAAAAAGCAGUGAUAUCAUGGUAUGGUUAGUUAUUUGAUUUUUUCUUGAAAUCAUAUACAUUUUUACUGAAACUUGCUUUGCUAAAUGUAACAAUGUGUCCUGAACGAAAAAAGCUUUUUAACAAAAUUUUUAAGAAGUGUUGCGAAAAUGCUUGUUUUAUGGUUGUAUUUAAAAUAUCACAUCAAUGUAAAAUAUUUCGACUACUAAUGAAUUACAAAGUGAUUUACUUCAUCCCAGUAUUUGCAAAAUGCCAAGAACAAGAUUACUUUCAGAUGUAGUCUCCCUUACAACAAAGCGUAUUCUUUUGCAACAGUACAGACAUUUUCUCAGUUUGAGCCACAAGAUGAAUGGGCAUGUUGCAGUUCCUAUAUGAUUUCUCUGUAGCAGUUAAUAGCUAGUAUGCAGUAAGCACUUAAUUCAGUUGGAAAGAAUAUCAUGGGGAUCUGAAUUUUAUACAAAUAAUAAAGAGCACAGAAUGGUUUGUUUUUGUUUUUGAUCAACUAAAAAAAAAUUAGCUUCAUUUUGUAAUUAGAACUGUCUUGAUGUAGUGAAUGUACUUAAAAAUUGAUUGUACAAAUACAUUGUAUAACUUAAUUUACUUGAAAUUUUAUGAGCUAUAUUGUUUGGAGAACAUAACCAAGUUUGUUUCAGAAUUGUAAGCUGAAAUGCGGAUUGUUUACCUAUGAUGUUGAAUGUCCAGUCCAAAAGAAAUAGAUCAUAAUGAAAUAUGCAAUUGGCCAUCUAAGUAUAGAAGAAGUGAGAAUAUCACCAUACAAUGGCAGUCCUGACUUCAUGGCAUACAUAAGCAGUGUCAUUCAUAAUGAAAAAGAUGCCCUGAAUUUUUAAAGGAAAACGAAAUAAUCAAGACUUACAUGAAUAAGGAAGUGGGAAAAUUUGAAAAAGAAGGGAUGAGUGAUGUCUUGGCAUAAGUAUGCUUUUUAUUAAAAAUGAAAUAAAUCUUGUACUGCAGGGUUUGUUAAUUAUAAAAUAUUGAAAAUGUCCUUGUAUUAAAAGUUUGAUAGUCAAAAGUUUUACAAGUAGAAGAAUGAAUUCCUUCAUCCCUUUAUUUGCAAAAUGCCUUGGUAUUCAAUUACUUUCAGAUUUAUUACAAGCACAUAUUUUGCGUCGAAACAGAUUUUGUUGAUCAGUGAAGCCACAGCAAACUGGUCAUGGUGCAGCUCUUUUAUGGUUUCUAUUUAGCACUGUUCCUUUUUGUUCCUGCAAGGUUGAAUGUUGCAAGCCAAAUUUAAGUUAUUCCUAGCAGCAGGAGAAGGUAUUGGAAAAAUGAUUGCAUAAGAGGUAUCCAGUUGUUGAGGUAUAGAAACUAAACCCCAAAAUUAGAAAUUACUCAACUUUGAAAAUAAUUAAAAAUUUAAAUUCCGAAAUUAGUGUAUAUUUAAUAACCUGUUAAUUGGAGAGCAUGACACAAGUUUGUUUCAGAGAUAAAAGUUGAUAUACAGAUGCCCAAACCAAGGCAUUGAUUGUCCAGUAUGCAUUGAUAGAAGAAUGUAAAUGGUGAUAUUGAAAGUAUCAUGUCAGGGGUAUGAAUUUCACCCAUUAUGUUGUAAACUAAACAUCAGAACAGUGGCUCCAGCCUUGUCCUUCAUAAUGUGAUAAAUGCCUCAAAUUAUGCUGAAAGAAAGCCUUGAAAAUGGUCUUGAUAAAGAAUGUUGUUAUAUGUGAAACAAAGUGGUUUAAAUUUUCUUAAGUUUGUUUAAGAGCUUGAUGGUGCUUCCUUUGUUUAAUGUUACAUUUUCUUGCAAAAUUUUUAUGAAGUAAAUAAGCCCAAAAAUAUAAUUGUACAAUUCAAACAUUAUACUUAAUUUAUCUGAAAAUUACAUGACAUAUUGUUAGGAGGACAUAACUAAGUUUGUUUCAGAGGUAUGAGCAGAACUUGUCCAACCCUAGACAUUCACCGUCAAAUAACGAGAUAAAUUUGUAGAAAAUGUCAUCUGCCAAGCUCCUACUGGUAAAGUAAUGUUAGUAGGAAUGUAAAAAGUCUUGACAGAAUGAAAUCAGCAGGAAGUAAGCUCCUUCAAAAGUUUUCAGUCUCCUUGGUGAAAGUCUCAACUCCAACAGUAUCCUGGCAGUUUUCCCUUCCAUUGGAACAAUUACAUUUGCCAUGGAUUACAUGAAACAAGGAAUCUUUUCUUCAAUUUGAUGGUCAUCUUUUGAAUAAAUCAAAACCUGUAUGGGGUGGCCCAAGAUACAAGUUAAAAUAAGUAAGUAGUUUAUGAAUAGCCAUGAUUAUUAGGAAAGGUAUACUGAAAUUGUAGCUAAAAUUCUCAGAAUUGUUAAAACAGUUAAACUUUUUAUUUCAUUCUUUUCAUAAAAUAGUUUAAAAGCUCUGAGCAAUUUAAUGCAUUUUUUGGAUGGAAAAUGAAGGUAGUCUUUUUCAGAUCUUAAAAGCCAUGGACACUGACCUAACACUGAUGUAUUAAAGCAAGACAAAGAAAACUAGGUUGAGCAAAUAUAUUGCCUUUUUGAUCUUCAACUUCUACUAUUGAUCAUUUUACAAUGGCAUAUUUGGUUCUCAUACUUACAAAUUGCGUUGAAUGUUAACUUUUCAAUCAAAGGGACAAAGUUUAAAGAAAAAAAGUUUGUGAUAACAUAAAAAUAAUGGGAACAUGGGAGCGUAAUUAGUUCCUUUAAAAAUGACAAAUUUACAGCUGAAAUGGACUUCUUAGACAGGAACAAGUCAAUUUUGUAAUAUAUAUAAUUAAUGUUGAUGACAUCAUCAAGUUAUACUGUUGUGCGUUUUUUGUUUUUUUUAAUUCAAAUUCGUUUAUUUAAAGUUCUGAUUAAUAAGUUCAAUCAUUAUGUGUGUUGCUUGGAAAAUGUGAAAAGACUCCUUUCAGAAAAUGAAAUCACAAGGAAAUCAACACAUUGAAGUGUUUGGAGCAAAAACCUUGAGUGGUUUUUGACUCCGGUGAUAUCUCCACUCCCACAGUAUCCCAAGAAGCAAGGUGCAUUUGCACAGAUUUGGUGACAAAGCUCUCCUAUCUUAGUUUCAUGUCAUCAUCUGAAUAGUCAAAACAUGUCAAGGGAUGUCUAAAGAUGCAAGCCAGAUUAACUAAAUAAUAAAUGGCUAAGAGAGUUACUCUAAAGUAAAGGUAAAAUUUUCGAAAGUAUUUAAAGGUUUAAUCAAUUUCAUUCAUCAUAUAUGAUACAGGAUGAAAAUUAAGAGCAAUUGGAUGUAUGGAACUUUUGUGUUAACGUUCUCAUUAUUUCAUUCAUCUUACAUCAUCUACAAGUUAAAAAUUCAGAUUAUACUUCAUGGUUAAAAGUUCACUUUCAUUUUCUCCAUAAAAAGCUAAGAGCAAUUCAAUACAUAUUUUGGGAGGAGAAUGUAGAUAGUCUUUUUCAGAUCUUAUAAUAGCCAGAGACAACGGGAUGAAGUCUUGAGUUUUAAAGCCAGGUUAAAAGUUGUGUGCCUUUUAUGAAUGGUCUACAACUACUAUAGAUGGAGUGUUUUCUUUGCAAAAGUAUAUUUGAUCUUUGAUGUUUUGAAAACAUACCAGUUGUGGCGAUAUUACCUUUCCAUCCAAAAUGAAGUUGUAAGACAAGGUUAUGAUGAGAAAUUUUAGAAGGAAGAAAACAAUUCAAUAAUACAUAAUUUUCCUGGAUAGGAAUGCGAGAAACAGGUUUUUCAUCUUAAAUUUUUACAAUUUAAACAAAACAAGUUUUCAGAUGAUUUGUUUGUAAGUUUACCUCAAGAAAUAGCUUGUUUAAACUGAUUUUAUUAACAUUUGAAAAGUUAUGAACCUUUUUGUGUUCAAUUUGUUGUUUUGGAAAUAUGAAAACUCCUUUCAGAAACUGAAAAGUCUCUCACAAGGUCAUAAUACAAGUCAAGUUAUUAGGUAUUUUGGGAACUGGUAGACAUUUCCAGUGGCUUUGGUAAUAGUCUUCACUCCAGAGUUUCCCCUUGCUAAGGUACAGUUACAUUUGCUGAUAGAUCACAUGAAACAAGGCAGCUCCACUCCAAAUUUUGAUGAUCAUCUUUGAAAAUGCAGUUAAAAAUAUCAAGGGUUGUCCAGAGAUGCAAAAUAAGCAGUUUACCAGAAGUUAAAGGUAAAAUUCUCAAUCUCCUCCACAGGUUUAACAAAUUUAAUAAUGUAAAACUGAGCUUUAAAUGUUAGAAAAAAAUUGAAAGUAGUCUUUGCAAUUUAAAUAGUAUAGGAUACUGACCUAACCGUAAAGUAACCCAUGUUUAAACAAAGGCUUUUAGUUAUCUUGUCUUGUUAAUAGCUAGGGUUUUGCUACUCUUAAAAUAUACAAUGUUUCCUUGCAAAAGGAUAUUUGGUUCUUUGUACCUGUUGUGGCGAUUAUUAUGUUUUAUCCACAAUAACAAAGUUUCAAGGCCAGGAAAUUGUGUUGAGGACAUUUUAGUGAUGCAAUGAUGUGCGAUCCUGUAAAAAUGACAAUAAACCUGGCGAUCUGAACUUUGACAGGGGGAUAAAGACAGGUUUGUCUUAUGUAUUCUUGUAAGGUUGAUAAAAAAAAUAACCAACUGAUGUUAUUUUACAAAGGUAGUUAUUAAAUUAUGUUGUUAAAAAAAAAGUAGUUUACAAAGAAGACAUUUUUAAGCUUUAGAAUAUUUUAAGCUUUAAACAUUUUGUCUGUUUGGAAAAUGUGAUCUGGUUCCUUUCAGAAAUUAAGUGUUAAGCAGGUAGAAAUAGGCAAGAAGUCCAUACAGUUUUAAUGAGGUAAACCCUCAAAUGUGGACAAUUUCAAUGGACUUGGUGAAAGUUGUACACUCCAAAAGUAUCUCAAGCUUUCCCUCGUGUUGGGAUGGGUACAUUUGCUGAUUUAUCACAUGAAGCAAGGCUGCUAUUCAAUUUUGACGAUCUUUUGAUAAUAACACCCGGGUUGGUCCAAAGAUGUAAGCCAAAUAAGCAAAAUGCUUGCCAAUAAAAUGAAAUGGUCAGCUAUGAUUGAUUGUCAAGAGAGGUAUCCUAAAAUUCAAGGUAAAAUUCUCGAUCAUUUCAAAAGUUAAUUUUAUUUCAUUUACAUUAUAAAAUACAGGUUAUAUAAUCAAAGCCAAUGGCUAUUUAAUGUAUAUGUCUAGGAAAAUGAAGGUAGUCUUUUUCAGAUCUGAAUUGUCCUAACAGUUUUCAGUUAAAGCCAGAAGUAAUCAAUAUUAAAGAAAGUGGCUUUGGUCAACUCCCAAUUUUGUGAAAUCCUCCAAAGUGGACGUUUUCAGUGGCCUUGGUAAUAGUCUUCAUGCCAACAGUAUCACAAGAGUUUCCCCUUGCAUUGGUAUGGUUACAUUUGCUGAUUGAUCACAUGAAGCAAGGCUUCUCUUCAGUUUUGAUGGUCAUCUUUUGAAAAUGCAGUUAAAACAUUGUUCAGGGUUGCGCCAAAAUAAGGAAGAUGUUUGCAAGCAUUUGCAUAAUUGAAUGAAAAAAUAUUUGGAGGAAAAAAGGUAGUCUUUUUGCAGAUCUAUAAAGUAUGGGAUACUGACCUGACCGCUUGAGAUAGAUGUCAGACAUAAAUCAAUCAUUAAAAGGCUUUAAAUCAUCUUUAAAAUUACCUGUUGUCAACAAUGACGAAGUUUCAAGAGCAGGACAUUGUGAUGAGGACUUUUUAGUGAUCAAAAGAUAGGGGACUGCGAUACUUAGAUUGACAAUAUUUCUUGUGAACUAGACAUAUAAAGACAGGUUUUUUAUUCUUAUUCUUUUAAAAGAAACAAAAUAAUGGUGUAGAAUCGAAAAUUAAAAGCUUGCAGAAGUUUUAUAUUAUAUAGGAAGAUAAAUUAUCAAGUUUAAAAAAAGACAUAUUUUAGCUUAAGAACAUUUUUCAGUUCAGUCAUUUUGUCUGUUGUUUGCAACAAUGGCUCCUUUCAGAAAUUAAGUGUUUGGCAAGUGGAAGUCCGCAAGAAGUAAUUCCAUACAGUUUUAUGGUAAACCCUCAAAUGUGCACAUUUUCAGUGGCCUUGGUGAAAGUUUUACACUCAAAGUAUAUCAAGUUUUCCCUUGCGUUGGCGCAGGUACAUUAGCUGAUUCAUCACGAGAAGCAAGGCUCCUAUUAAAAUUUGAUGCUCAUCUUUUGAAAAUGCAGUUAUAUUUUGGGAUGUUCAAAGAUACAAGCCAAACUUAGAAAGAUGUUUGCCAGUAACUGAAAUGAUAGCUAUGAUUGAUUGUAAAGAGAGGUAUCCUAGAAUUCAAGGUAAAAUUCUCAACUUAUUUCAAGGGUGACUAUAUCAUUUACAUACAAUAAUACAGGUUUAACAAAGCCAAUACCAAUUUUAUGUAUAUUUUGCAAGGAAAGUGAAGGUAGUCUUUUUCAGAACUGAAUAGCCUGGUACAUAGACGUAACAACUUGAAGUUUUCAAUUUAAAAGCCAGAAGUAAAGUUAUCCAUAUUGAAGAAAGUGCCUUUGGUUAGCUCCAAUUUUUGUGAAAUCCUCGAAAGUGGACAUUUUCAAUGGCCUUGGUAAUAGUUUUCAUGCGAACAGUAUCUCAAGAGUUUCCCCUUGCAUUGGUAUGGUUACAUUUGCCGAUUGAUCACCUGAAGCAAGGCUUCUCUUCAGUGUUGAUGGUCAUCUUUUGAAAAUCCAGUUAACACAUAUCAUGGUUGAUCCAAAGAUACAGGCCAAUAUAAGCAAGACGUUUGCCAGUGCAAUAAAAUGAUAAGCUAUGAUCGAUUGUGAAAAGAGUUAUCCUAAAAUUGAAAGGUAAAAUUCUCAAUUUUUAUCAAAAGUAAAAUUUAUUUCAUUUACAUCUUAAAAGCAAAGUUUUACAAAGCCAAGACCAAUGUAUUGUAUAUUUUGGGAGGAAAGUGAAGGUAGUCUUUUUCAGAUCUGAAUAGCCUGGAAUAUUGGUCCAACAGCCUGAGGUUUUCAGAUUAAAGCCAGAAGUAAAGUAAUCCAUAUUAAAGAUAGUGUCUAUGGUCAGCUCUCCAACUCUGUGAAAUCCUCAAAAGUUGACGUUUUCAAUGGCCCUGGUAAUAGUCUUCAUGCCAACAGUAUCUCAAGAGUUUCCCCUUGCAUUGGUAUGGUUACAUUUGCCGAUUGAUCACAUGAAGCGAUGCUCCUCUUCAGUUUUGAUGGUCAUCUUUUGAAAAUGCAGUUAAAACAUAUAAAGUUUGAUCCAAAGAUACAAGCCAAAAUAGGUAAGAUGUUUGCCAGUAAAGGAAAUGUUGAUAAGCUAUAUGAUUAGAGUAAAGAGGUAUCCUAAAAUUCAUAGUGAAAUUCUCAACUUAUUUCAAGAGUGACUUUAUCAUUUACAUCAUGACAAAGCAAAGACCAAUUUAAUGUUUUAUUUUGGAAGGAAAGUGAAGGUAGUUUUUUUCAGAUCUGAAUAGCCCAGGACAUUGACCUAACAGCCUGAAGUUUUCAGAUUAAAGCCAGAAGUAAAGUAAUCCAUUUCCAAGAUAGUGCCUGUUGUCAGCUCUCCAACUCUGAAAUCCUCAAAAGUUGACGUUUUCAAUGGCCUUGGUAAUAGUCUUCAUGCCAACAGUAUCUCGAGUUUCCCCUUGCAUUGGUAUGGUUACAUUUGCUGAUUGAUCACCUGAAGCAAGGCUUCUCUUCAGUUUUGAUGGUCAUCUUUUGAAAAUGCAGUUAAAACAUAUCGAGGUUUAUGCAAAGAUACAAGCAAAAAUAAGAGAGACUUCUGCCAGUAUUAUGAAAUGAAUAGGUAUGAUAGGAGUAAAGAGAGGUAUCCUAAAAUUCAAGGUAAAAAUUCUCAACUUCAAGAGUGACUUAAUAUCAUUUACAUCAUAAAAAAUGGGUUUAACAAAGCCAAUACCAAUUUAAUGUAUAUUUUGGGAGGAAAGUGAAGGAAGUCUUUUUCAGAUUGAUUUGAAUAGCCUGUGAUAGGGACUUCACGUCCAGAAGUUUUCAGUUUAAAGCCAGAUGUGAAGUAAUCCAUAUUAAAGAAAGUGCCUUUGGUCAGCUGCAACUUUGUUAAAUCCUCAAAAGUGGACGUUUUCAAUGGCCUUGGUAAUAGUUUUCAAGCCAACAGUAUCUCAAGAGUUUCCCCUUGCAUUGGUAUGGUUACAUUUGCCGAUUGAUCACCUGAAGCAAGGCUUCUCUUCAGUGUUGAUGGUCAUCUUUUGAAAAUGCAGUUAAAACAUAUCAAGUUUGAUCCAAAGAUACAAGCCAAAAUAGGUAAGAUGUUUGCCAGUAAAGGAAAUGUUGAUAAGCUAUAUGAUUAGAGUAAAGAGGUAUCCUAAAAUUCUUAGUAAAAUUCUCAACUUUCUUCAAGAGUGACUUUAUCAUUUACAUGAUAACAAAGCCAAGACCAAUUUAAUGUUUAUCUUGGGAGGAAAGUGAAGGUAGUCUUUUUCAGAUCUGAAUAGCCUGUGACAUUGACUUAACAGAUUAAAGCCAGAAGUAAAGUAAUCCAUAUUCAAGAUAGUGCCUGUUGUCAGCUCUCCAACUCUGUGAAUUCCUCAAAAGUUGACGUUUCAAUGGCCUUGGUAAUAGUUUUCAUGCCAACAGUAUCUCGAGUUUCCCCUUGCAUUUAUAUGGUUACAUUUGCUGAUUGGUCACCUGAAGCAAGGCUUCUCUUCAGUUUUGAUGGUCAUCUUUUGAAAAUGCAGUUAAAACAUAUCAAGGUUGAUGCAAAGAUACAAGAUACAAGCCAAAAUAGGUAAGAUGAUUGCCAAUAAAGGAAAUGUUGAUAAGCUAUAUGAUUAGAGUAAAGAGGUAUCCUAAAAUUCAUAGUAAAAUUCUCAACUUUCUUCAAGAGUGACUUUAUCAUUUACAUGAUAACAAAGCCAAGACCAAUUUAAUGUUUAUUUUGGGAGGAAAGUGAAGGUAGUCUUUUUCAGAUCUGAAUAGCCUGUGACAUUGACUUAACAGAUUAAAGCCAGAAGUAAAGUAAUCCAUAUUCAAGAUAGUGCCUGUUGUCAGCUCUCCAACUCUGUGAAAUCCUCAAAAGUUGACGUUUUCAAUGGCCUUGGUAAUAGUUUUCAUGCCAACAGUAUCUCAAGAGUUUCCCCUUGCAUUGGUAUGGUUACAUUUGCUGAUUGAUCACCUGAAGCAAGGCUUCUCUUCAGUUUUGAUGGUCGUCUUUUGAAAAUGCAGUUAAAACAUAUCGUGGUUUAUGCAAAGAUACAAGCAAAAAUAAGAGAGACUUCUACCAGUAUUAUGAAAUGAAUAGGUAUGAUAGGAGUAAAGAGAGGUAUCCUAAAAUUCAAGGUAAAAAUUCUCAACUUACUUCAAGAGUGACUUAAUAUCAUUUACAUCAUAAAAAAUGGGUUUAACAAAGCCAAUACCAAUUAAAUGUAUAUUUUGGGAGGAAAGUGAAGGAAGUCUUUUUCAGAUUGAUUUGAAUAGCCUGUGAUAGGGACUUCACGUCCAGAAGUUUUCAGUCCAAAGCCAGAUGUAAAGUAAUCCAUAUUAAAGAAAGUGCCUUUGGUCAGCUGCAACUUUGUUAAAUCCUCAAUAGUGGACGUUUUUAAUGGCCUUGGUAAUAGUCUUCAUGCCAACAGUAUCUCAAGAGUUUCCCCUUGCAUUGGUAUGGUUACAUUUGCCGAUUGAUCACAUGAAACGAUGCUCCUCUUCAGUGUUGAAGGUCAUCUUUUGAAAAUGCAGUUAAAACAUAUCAAGUUUGAUCCAAAGAUACAAGCCAAAAUAGGUAAGAUGAUUGCCAAUAAAGGAAAUGUUGAUAAGCUAUAUGAUUAGAGUAAAGAGGUAUCCUAAAAUUCUUAGUAAAAUUCUCAACUAACUUCAAGAGUGACUUUAUCAUUUACAUGAUUACAAAGCCAAGACCAAUUUAAUGUUUAUUUUGGGAGGAAAGUGAAGGUAGUUUUUUUCAGAUCCGAAUAGCCUGUGACAUUGACUUAACAGAUUAAAGCCAGAAGUAAAGUAAUCCAUAUUCAAGAUAGUGCCUGUUGUCAGCUCUCCAACUCUGUGAAUUCCUCAAAAGUUGACGUUUUCAGUGGCCUUGGUAAUAGUCUUCAUGCCAAUAGUAUCUCAAGAGUUUCCCCUUGCAUUGGUAUGGUUACAUUUGCUGAUUGAUCACCUGAAGCAAGGCUUCUCUUCAGUUUUGAUGGUCAUCUUUUGAAAAUGCAGUUAAAACAUAUCAAGGUUGAUGCAAAGAUACAAGCAAAAAUAAGAGAGACUUCUGCCAGUAUUAUGAAAUGAAUAGGUAUGAUAGGAGUAAAGAGAGGUAUCCUAAAAUUCAAGGUAAAAAUUCUCAACUUACUUCAAGAGUGACUUAAUAUCAUUUACAUCAUAAAAAAUGGGUUUAACAAAGCCAAUACCAAUUAAAUGUAUAUUUUGGGAGGAAAGUGAAGGAAGUCUUUUUCAGAUUGAUUUGAAUAGCCUGUGAUAGGGACUUCACGUCCAGAAGUUUUCAGUUUAAAGCCAGAUGUAAAGUAAUCCAUAUUAAAGAAAGUGCCUUUGGUCAGCUGCAACUUUGUUAAAUCCUCAAUAGUGGACGUUUUUAAUGGCCUUGGUAAUAGUCUUCAUGCCAACAGUAUCUCAAGAGUUUCCCCUUGCAUUGGUAUGGUUACAUUUGCCGAUUGAUCACAUGAAGCGAUGCUCCUCUUCAGUGUUGAUGGUCAUCUUUUGAAAAUGCAGUUAAAACAUAUCAAGUUUGAUCCAAAGAUACAAGCCAAAAUAGGUAAGAUGAUUGCCAAUAAAGGAAAUAUUGAUAAGCUAUAUGAUUAGAGUAAAGAGGUAUCCUAAAAUUCAUAGUAAAAUUCUCAACUUACUUCAAGAGUGACUUUAUCAUUUACAUCAUAACAAAGCCAAGACCAAUUUAAUGUUUAUUUUGGGAGGAAAGUGAAGGUAGUUUUUUUCAGAUCUGAAUAGCCUGUGACAUUGACUUAACAGAUUAAAGCCAGAAGUAAAGUAAUCCAUAUUCAAGAUAGUGCCUGUUGUCAGCUCUCCAACUCUGUGAAUUCCUCAAAAGUUGACGUUUUCAGUGGCCUUGGUAAUAGUCUUCAUGCCAAUAGUAUCUCAAGAGUUUCCCCUUGCAUUGGUAUGGUUACAUUUGCUGAUUGAUCACCUGAAGCAAGGCUUCUCUUCAGUUUUGAUGGUCAUCUUUUGAAAAUGCAGUUAAAACAUAUCAAGGUUGAUGCAAAGAUACAAGCAAAAAUAAGAGAGACUUCUGCCAGUAUUAUGAAAUGAAUAGGUAUGAUAGGAGUAAAGAGAGGUAUCCUAAAAUUCAAGGUAAAAAUUCUCAACUUACUUCAAGAGUGACUUAAUAUCAUUUACAUCAUAAAAAAUGGGUUUAACAAAGCCAAUACCAAUUUAAUGUAUAUUUUGGGAGGAAAGUGAAGGAAGUCUUUUUCAGAUUGAUUUGAAUAGCCUGUGAUAGGGACUUCACGUCUAGAAGAUUUCAGUUUAAAGCCAGAUGUGAAGUAAUCCAUAUUAAAGAAAGUGCCUUUGGUCAGCUCUCCAACUCAGUGAAAUCCUCAAAAGUUGACGUUUCAAUAGCCUUUGUAAUAGUUUUCAUGCCAACAGUAUCUCAAGAGUUUCCCCUUGCAUUGGUAUGGUUACAUUUGCUGAUUGAUCACCUGAAGCAAGGCUUUUCUUCAGUUUUGAUGGUCAUCUUUUGAAAAUGCAGUUAAAACAUAUCAAGGUUGAUGCAAAGAUACAAGCAAAAAUAAGAGAGACCAGUUAUGUUUGCCAGUAAAAUGAAAUGAUGAGCUAUGAUUGUCAAGAGAGGUAUUCUUCAAUUAAAAUUCACAAUUAUUUAAAAAUUGAUACAUUCUCUUCAUAAAAUAAUAAUAAGAGCAAUUUCUUUAAUGUGUACGUUGGAGGAAAAUGAAGUCUUUUUCAGAUUCUUAUAGUGGGGAUCACUGACCUUACAGCUUGGAAGUUUUAAGUUGGAAGUAAUGUAAUCCAUGUUCAAACAACGGCAUCUUCAGUUUUUUAAAUGGGACAAGGUUUGAUUUACCACCCCUUAUAUUGAUGGAAUGAUUUCCUUGCAAUAGAAGUAGGUUGUGAUGAAAACUUUAUAGAGAUAAACACAUUAGAUGAGAAUGGUAUUAUUUCUGUUCAUUUGGAAGAGGGUAAGACCUUAACUUUUGAAGUUUAAACAAAGCAGUGAUCUUGUAUCCAGAAUGAAUAACAAGUUUUUAAGCUUUUCUUACUAGAUGUUCUGUUAAUGUAGCUUAGAUUAAACUAAUUUUAUAAACAUUUGAACUUUUUACCUUGAGUGAUUUUGUCUGUUCGGAAAAUAUGAAACGUUUUUUUCUAGAAUUAAAAAAAUCUGACGGGAUGGUUAUCAGCAGAAGCAAAUCAAUAAGGCAUUUAAUAGGUAGACCUGAAAUAAGAAGCCAAAGUAAGCAGGCAUUUUGCCAGCAGAAUGAAAUGAACAGCCAAGGUUGACUUUUAAGAGAUGUAUCCUAAAAUUUAAGGUAAAACUCUUGAGGAUUAUUUAAAAGUAGAUAUUCUUUUAAUUAAAUACAGGUUUAAAUGCCAAAAGCAAUGAAAUGUAUAUGUUGCAAGGCAUGUAUUGACAGAAAUGAAAGAAAUAGGUUUUCCUAUAGUCUUUAAGAGAUGCCAUUUACAAAGUCUACUAAAAUGUUCUGGAUUGACCUUGAUUAUGUUGAGAUCAUUUUUAUAUGCCUAAAGUCUUAAGUAAAGCUAAAGGGAGUAACCAAUUAAACCAAAUUCUAUGGUCAAAAUUAGUUUUUGAAUACAUUGUUAGGAGAAAAAUGAAGCCAGUUCUUUUCAGAUUUGUUUACCCUGGAUGCAGAUUGAAUAGAAUUAACAACCCAUGAAGAAGCAUAUACUUUAGGGCAUCGUUACAUUGUGAAGGGUAUAAAAUAUAUUGACCUUUGCAUUUGAUUGUUUCCCUGUGCAUUGGCAUGUUUACUUGGUAUUAUUGAAUAAUGAUUUUCUGCAUGUUGUAUUUUUCUUGUAAUUUAUAAUAUCAGGACUUUUUCAAAUUAUAACUAAGGUAUCACACACAGUUGCUUUAGCAUCUGAAAAGUUACCAAGUCUGUAAUCAAGUUUUAAGUGUUUUAAAAAAGAAACUAGUUGUUUGGUAUAACAAUGGUAAAGUUUGUUUGGAAAAGGUGAAAGCUAGUUUGUUUCAGCUCUAGAGAAGUAGCAGACAAUUAUUAUUCAGCAAAAGUUGGCAUGGUGAAAGGUUUCAAUUCAUCCAGCAGUGCUUACAUAUUGUAUUAAAAUGAAAUUGUAAUGGUAAUAUUUUGUUGAUGACAACACAGGUCGUAGGCGAAAGAAUUCUAAUUUGCCUUUAUUUUUUAAAGAAUUGACAGAAAUAGAUUUGAAUGAAAUGACAAAACACAUGGUUUAUGUAAAAGUAUAAAAAGUAUAAAAUUCUUGUAAACUAAAUCAAAUGAAAAGGUCAUUUUUUUAAAGAUAUAGACAUCAUUUUUAAUUGAAAGGAGAAACUUUUAAUAAUAGAUGCUUAUUGUUUUGGAGAACUGCAACAGUUUAUUUCAGAUAAUUCAAUAAAAGAGCUAAGAAUAUUGUCCUGUCAGCUUUGUUUGAAGGAAGUCCUGUUCCUAAAUGGAAGAUUGUUCCACAACAAUAUUGAAUAGUUUACCCAUUGGUUGACAUGAAGCCCUUGUAUAGUAACAUACAUAUUUUUCAUGUUUUUAAUAGUUCAACGUUGUACAUUUUGCAUCAUUAAUGUAAGUUAUUAUAGUAUUAAUGUAAUUUGUUUAGUUGUUUUUUUUCCAUACUAUAAUGAUAGAAUAGAAGAUAAUGCUAGAAUUUAUUGCACAAUUUCUUGUUAAUAUUUCUAAGAAUCAUUGCACUUAGAUUAAAUAAGUAUUGUGUCAGUAGUUGGAGAAAAUGAAACAAGUUUUUCAGGUUAAACAGCAAGUUUUCAUGAAAUUCAAAGCAGUAUCUGGGUAUAAUGCAACAUCUAUGGCUUGAUUUCAAAGUAUAGACUGAAAGUGACCAUAUCAUUAGACUUAUUAGGUGACUAUGUAUCAAGUGGUUCAGUUAUUUUGUUUUCCAGGUUAUUUGAAGCAUAGAGUUUUCAUAUUAAUAAUUUGAAUAAAUAUCUUUAUUUAUAUAUCAAACUUGAUUUGAUAAGUUUUAUUAUAUCUGAAGAAAUAGCUUUAAAGUUGUCCAGUUAGAAGAAGUUCUAUGGGAAUUGAAUAUAUAAUUUUGUUAAUAGCUUCCAGACAACAGAUUGUUGGUGUAAUUAUUAAAGAUUUCAGUAGUGAUGAGAUGAUUAGCCUUUAACUACACAGUACUUCCACCUUUCAUUUCUAGAUCUAUUCAAUGUACUACUAAUUGAUGUCUGUUUUUGUAUUUAUAUCUUUUCAAAUUGGAUUGGUUUUAAUGCAUUUUCAAAACUAGGUGUAUGAAGUGACAUGAUUUUGAAAGUUUAUUUCAGUGAUUGUGUUGUUGUCAAAAUAGAAUGCAAAGGUAUAUAUACCAAUAAACCAUAAUUCCCAGGUUGUUGUGCUAGUACUACAAAUAGAUUUCACCAUUUUCUAAUAACUGUGCUUUGCAUAUACAAAUCUGUAAAAUUCUUUACUCUGAAUUUACUAAUAUUUGUUUAGAAUAUAUAGUUUACCAGAUGUGUAUGCUUGUUUUGUAAUUUAUAAUGAACAUUUACAUAAUUACUUGUGUUGAGAAAUGUAAUUCUAGAGAUAUAUGAUAAGCAAGUCAUUAAACAUCAUCCUUAUUUCAUAUUUACCAUCACUUUUCUAGUUUCAAUCAAAAUAGUACAAUGAUAGGGGUUCUUGUUUAAACCUAGUGUUUUUCAGAUAUGGAAGAAACAACACGUUCUUCAGGGAUAGGAGCAUAUUUUGUUUAUCUUUCAGAAUAACUUAUGUGUAGUAACCACCCUUAGACUUGACCAGAAUUUAUGUGUUGGUGUUAUUUCGUACAAUUGAAAGAUGCUGGUUCCAUAUUUAUAUAAGUAGCAAAUUCAAAGCAAGUGGCAAGUUAACAUGCUUUAUGUAUUCCAUUGUAAUAAAAUGUAAUGCUCGUCAAAACAAAUAUUCAGAUAUUUUGUGAUAUUAUUUACACAUCAAUUUUAAUCUUCCAUUUGUUUUUCAUUAUAUGUUUUUGAAUCCUGUACAUACAUUUCUUCUUUAUUGUACUGUUUUUGGGGUUCAGGGGGGAGUUUGAACUUUUUUUAGUGUUUUGCAGAAUCUCCAAUGUGUGAUGAGAAAAGCUUUGUCCCAGUUCCCUCAUGUUGUUAUUUUGACCAGAUACAGAUGGUUGCAUACUUGAUAAGAUCUUUUUUGUCUUUCUAUAGCUAAUAUACCUACAGUUUGCACCACUAAAAUGAUGUUUUUUUGCUUUAGCUAAGAGACAUAUGGUCUGCACCACUAAACUGACAAAUUUCAAAAAGCACAAGUUUUUAAUUUUUUUGAAAUUAAGUUUCAUAACUUUCUGUUUGCUAUCUAUCUAAAAUAACAUGUUGUGGCAUUUGGAUAUGUAACAGUUUGAUAUUGCAGAUUUCAUAGCACUGAUUUCGAAAUAAUGAAGUACUCCGUGGCUUCAAGUAGUUUUUCAUGGAAGAGGAUAACCCAGUUUGAAUACUUUCAUAUGUAAAUAUGGGAAAAGAAUGCAUUUUGAAAAUUGAGGGAAACGAAAGGUCUAAUUUUGAUUAUUUCAGAUUGCCAUCAAAUAUGAUCAUGAUAUAUUGACUAAUUAUCAGAGUGAUUAUUUUUCUCCUUAAAGUUGAUUGUGAUGGAAAAUGUAUUGUUUAUCCUUCAAAAAACACCUGCUUUGUAUAUUUUCUUACUGAUUUUAAUAGAAUUGAUGUUCAAGUCUUUCUAGUGUAGAUUUUGUGUAAAGUUUGCUUAAUAUAUUUAAUAAUUGAAACACUAAUUUUCAGUGAUUAUUUCAGAUUGCUAUUGAAAAUGAUGUCUGUGUACUAAUUUAAGAGUUUCCACCUUUGAAUUAAGAGGUGUUUCUUUUUUUCUUCUUUUUUGCUAUCAUAAGCAAUUCUAUCACAUUCUUUAGGGAUGGGGGGGCAUAUUUUGUUUAUCUUUCAGAAUAACUUGUUUCGUGUAAAGUGACCACCCUAAGACUAGACCAGAAUUCAUUGGUGUUAUUUCGUACAAUUGAAAGAUGCUGGUUCCAUAUUUAUAUAAGUAGCAAGUUCAUUUCCAUGUUUUUUAAAGCAAGUGGCAAGUUAACAUGCUUUAUGUAUUUCAUUGUAAUAAAAUUAAAAUUAUAACAAAUAUCCAGAUAUUUUGUGAUAUUAUUUACACAUCAAUUAAAAAAAAUUACCUUUCUUUUUCAUUAUAUGCUUUUGAAUCCUGUACAUGCAUUUCUUUUUUAUUUUACUGUUUUUGGGGGUCAGGGGGGAGUUUGAACUUUUUUAGUGUUUUGCAGAAUCUCCAAUGUGUGAUGAGAAAAGCUUUGUCCCAGUUCCCUCAUGUUGUUAUUUUGACCAGAUACAGAUGGUUGCAUACUUGAUAAGAUCUUUUUUGUCUUUCUAUAGCUAAUAUACCUACAGUUUGCACCACUAAAAUGAUUAUAUUUUUUUUUUUGCUUUAGCUAAGAGACAUAUGGUCUGCACCACUAAACUGACAAAUUUCAAGAAGCACAAGUUCUUUUAAUUUUGAAAUAAAGUUGCAUAACGUUCUGUUUGCUGUCUAAAAUAACAUGUUUUGGCAUUUGGGUAUGUAACCGUUUGAUAUUGCAGAUUUCAUAGCACUGAUUUCGAAAUAAUGAAGUACUCCAUGGCUUCAAGUAGUUUUUCAUGGAAGAGGAUGACAAGUUCAAAAGAGAAUGCAUUUUGAAAAUUACUUCAGAUUGCCAUCAAAUAUGAUUGUAGAAUAGGAAUCUGGAUAUUUUUACUGCAUUAUCAGAGUAAUUCUUUUCUCCUUAAAGUUGAUUGUGGUGAGGAAUGUAUUGUUUAUACUUCAAAAACACACUCGCUUUGUGUAUUUACUUACUGAUUUUUUAACAGCAUUGAUGUUGCAUGUCUUUCUGGUAGGAUGCAAAUUCCAAGUGUUUGAAGCUUAUAUUAAAACAAGGGAGAAGUGGCCAUAUAUACAUGCUUUAUCUCAAUAGUAUAUAGCUCAAUAUUUUUAAUAGCAUUAGAUUAGACAACUUGCUAUGCAUUUUUUAUUUAAUUACUUGUUUGUCAUUGAUAUAUUUCUCUCCACAUUGUAAUUUGUAUUUGCAUUAUAGUCGGCUAUUUGGGGGGCAGAGUUGGGUUGAAAUAUUCUAGUUUUUUGCAGAGAAAAGUGGCAGUGAAGGGAAAAGCUUUGUCUGUUUGUCAUCGUUUAUCAGGUACAUAGUCAACCAUCAUUCAAAAUAUUUGAUUACCUUCAUGUAAUUCUUUGUCUUUAUUUUGACUUCUGCAAGUACAUGAUGUUAAAGAGAUUUGUUACUUUCUUAAAAAUUGUUAAUAUUAUAAUAUCAACUUAUGUUGCAUACUAAAAUUCCAUAAUUUGUUGGGGUGGGUGUGGGUAUAAUAAUUCCAUAGAUUAUUGCAGAUGCUGAUGAGAUUGACAUGUAACAUUACAGUUCUGGAAAAUCAAAACAGAUGUUCUUGUUAAUCAGAGAAGAAACAAUAAUUUCUUAAUAUUUCUGGCCAAAUAUAGUAUUUCUGGCCUAGUAAUGAAAGAGAACAAUUUUUUAACAUUGAAAUUUGCUAUAGAAUUGUGACCCUUAUUUUUCUGGUUAUGAUUUAAGGAAUUGUGAUAGAUUUUAAUUAUUUCAUGUUGACAAUGAAUGUUCAGUAGUGAGAAGUUGCUUUAUGUAAAGAGUUCUUUCACUGAUAAUUUUUCAAAAUACCAAACUGGCUGAUCAGCUUUUGUCAUAAAUUUUGUCUUUGGAGUUGCUUGGCGGGGUGGCCAGGUAUAUUUUGUUUAUCUUUCAGAUUUAGUUGCAGUUGAGGAAUGGCCUUCAGGUUUAAUCAGUUUUCUUGUUGAUGUUUAUUUCAAAGAAGUUGAAAGUUGCCAGCUUUUUUGGAUUGAAAGCAAAAGUUGGGAUUAGGGCAAGUGGCCAUUGCUUUUGUAUACUUGCACUUUUUUAGUAAAAUAAUUUGAUUAAACUUAGAUAUUUUUGUUCAUUGUUUGAUUGAAUUACUGCUUUGCAUAUCAUACUUUGUUUGUUUGCACAGACUUUCUUUAAGAGUAAUACCAUUAGGAAUUGGGGUCUGACUUUUGCAGCUAACAGUAAUGAGGAAAGGUAUUUAACAGAUUGGUUUUGACAUUAUUUCAUAACUAACAUAAGGCAUCUGAUCUAAAAAGAAUAAAUGCUUCAUUAAAAAAAACUAUUUGAAGUAAACACAGUAUUAUUAGAUAAGUAUUAAUUAAUAGCUAUGUGAAAUGAUCAAGAAUAUCUUGGAAGAUUCAAGUUUGACAGUUUUUUUUACACUUGUUUGUUUGCUUGGAAUUUGGUGUUCCCCUUAGACAUUGCAGAUGCAGUGCUAAAUUUAUAUUGUGAAAAUGUAAUUGUUGUAAGAACUACUGCAUGUGGUUAAUAAUAACAAAUUUCAAUACUCGUUUUAGAGACAUAUCUAUUCUUAGACAUGUAAGUCUUAUUUGCCAAAUUAGUACCUGCAAUUUUUAAUGAAAUAUCGAAGAAUUUUGUUAAAUCAGUUAUGUUGUCUAGGGGAUGGGGCAUAUUUUGAUUAUCUUUCAGAUCAACUUGCUAAAUUUAAAAUAAUUACCAUAUUAAAGACUAAACUAGGAUAUAUCCAGUAGUUUUUGAAGUGUGGAAGUUGGUGGUCCAAGUGAGAAUAUAGGACAAGCUGUUGUCAUUUCUUUUUUAUGCUCGUUUGUUUUACCAAGUACUGAGGUAGAUAUAUUUUAAAGAAUUAUUUAUAUUUUUUAUGCAUUUCAUUUCCUUAUUUGUAUUCACAGUGUGCUUUUUGUAAUCAGUUUACUUUAACCAGAUAAUUUACUCAAUUUUUGUCUAUCUUUAGCUCUGUUUCCUAUUUAUUUGUCAAAUAAUAUGAUCUGUAAAUAAAUGUGAUAAAUAUACCUUAAAUAUAAAAUAAUAUGAUAGGUAAAUAAAUGUGGUAAAUUUACCUCAAAUAUGUUUAGAGGCAAUACAUUAAAUACUAACUAUUCAAUUAUAACUUAUUAAAUUAGCUAUUAUAAUAGAUGUGUAUUGUAUAUUUCUAUUAUUUAAAUUAAAGAAAAUGAUACUAACUGGGUUGGGAUUGGGGCAUAUAAUUGUUCUUGAGAUUAUUUCAGAUGCUGUAAAGAUUUUAGUCUUGAAAUUGUAUUGAAACAGUUGUAGCAGGCAUGAGUCUUUACUUUUCUUAUAAAUAUACCUGUGUACACAAUUAAAAAAUAAUGUUUAUGGCUAGAAUACAUUGGUUUCUUUUCUAACAAUAAUAUAUUUUUAGAAAUCAUUUAUACAUCAAGGUUUUUGUAUUGCAUUAUCUUCUAGUAGAAGUUUAUGUAUUGCAUUAUCUUCAGAAAAUAGAAGUAAGCAAAUAUUUUUUUGUAGUUCGAUAAUGAAUUCUAUAAAAUGUACUAAAAAUUUUGGUUCUUCACUAUACUCUUAUUUUUAAUUAUAAAUUAGCUUUUAAAUGAUUAUACUAGCCGUUAUAUUUAAGUUUUCUUGUCUGUAAUGUGUAAUUUAAUUUGACGUCAGCAUUUCUUCAUUUCAAAAUGUUUUGUUGCUGUUUUUGCUUUUUAAUGGGGUUGGGGUAUGUUGUUUUUUAUUUUUCAGAGCUAGGUGUGUAGUUGAUUAAUCAUCAAACUUGGCCUGAAUUUUUGUGAUGUUUUCUUGCAAGUUUUGAGUUCUAGUUAAAGCACAAGUUAAAACAAGGGGCAAGUGGUUGUUGCUUUUAUCUACAUUAUGUUUUCAGUAAUUGGAAUAGUAAUAGAUAUCUUAUUAGCUUAUUGAUAGGAAUUUAUAAUAGUUCCUAAAUUUAUUCUCACUGUAAUAUUGUACUUGUAUACACUGCUUUUUAGUUAUGAUUGUACAUGGGGAAGUUUGGGUCAUCAUAUUUGUGUGUAUCAGUUGCAAACUUGAAAUUGUGUCACUGUUGAGUCAAAUUCUCCCUUAGUUUCCUCAAUUAUUCAUCGAUUUCACAAAAGCAACUUAUUCCAAUUUUCUCUUUGUUAUUGCUCUAGUUUUUGUGUGUUAGAUAUUUUGUUUGUGGAAAUAGGUUUUAGUCCAUUACUUGAUUGAAAUGAUGAUUUUUAAAACAGAUUAAGAUAGAUAUAAAAAGUGUGUAAAAGGUUUUAUUAAAUUUAAUGCAAUAUAAGCAUCCACAUACAAGAGCUUGAUGUUACUAAAUAUUAACAUUAAAAUGUAUUGGUUAUACAGCAUGUAGUUACACGGUUUUUUAGAUUUAUAUAAUUGCACUAUUUAUAUUGUUCAAAGACUUGUUGCUUGAUUUGUUGUAGGUAGGGUGGGGCAAGUUUUAUUUAUAUUUCAGAAUAACUUGAGAAAAAAAUGGGAGUGUUCACCCUUAGAAAUGUGUUUGACCUUUGCAUGACAGAAUCAUGUAAUUUAUCAAAGUUAAGGUAACAUUAAUGAUGGACAAUAUUGUAAGCAGAAACUAUUUCUGAACUUAUGAAGAUAAGAAAUAAUAGGUUUUGAAUAAUAUACAAUGUGAGCUUUGACUUUAACAAACAUAAAUGAAGGUUUUAAUUGUGUAUUCACUGAACAUAAUUUUAUCAGAUAAUGAAAGUAACUCUGAAUUUUAUUAGCAUUUCCUUGAUUUAUAGUUGUAUAAUAGCUAACAUUAUGUUCAAAUCUUGUUGGGAACUUGAUUGCCUUGAUUUGUUUUUAGGUGGAGUGGGGAGUGUUUUGUUUUUUCUUUCAGAACAUUUUAACAGAAUGGUGUUCACCUUCAAACUAAUGAAAAAAUUGUUGUUUUUGAAAGAUGCCAGUCAGGGUAUAUAUAAAGUGUUAAAAAUUGGCAAGUGGCCUUUGCUUUCAUAUGCUAUUUUUUUAGUGUAUCAACUAUAGCUUAAUUUUUAAAAAUUAGAAUAUCGUGCGUAAACUAUUGUUCACUUUCUGCCUGUGUAUUUUUACUUUGUGCUUUUGUAAGCUGUGUGCUCUUAUUAAUUAAAACUUAUUGGGGUAAUAGGGUGGGGUCAGAUUUAUCUUUUUUUAGUCUUUUACAGAGCUACAAGUGAAAAGCUAUUUCCAGUUCCCUUAUUUGCCAUCUAUCAUUCACAAGAGACUGAAUUGCCAUCACCAUUUGUAACUAAUUUCAUUUAUUUAGGAAAACAACUUCAUAAGUACUUAUGUUGUAUUAUCAAGUAAAUGAUUUGAAGUGCUAGUAGUAAAAUAAGUCAGUGUUGCAUUUAUCCCUUUCUGUCUUUUUCUAUCUUUAAUCGCAAAGAAUUGAAAAUAAAUAUAUGCACUGAAAUUUGUUAAGUAAAGAUAUACUUCAAUUUAAGAUAUUAACAUAAUUGGGAGGGGGGAUUUUAUAUUUUUAAAGACUGUUGCAGAUAAAACCUGCUUAAAGUUGCUGAAACAUGGAAGAUACACAUCAAGAAUAAGAUGACGGACGUAUGUAGAGUCUGAAUUUUGUGUUGUAUGUUCUAUAAAAUUUCUUCUAUAGUUAAAAUUAAUUACACUUUAAAAAUAGUUGAAAUUGUAAGUGCUAAGUAAGUCUUAUAUUAAAAAGUAUUGAAGUAAAUUCUUUGAUAUUAGUAUAUGUAAAGUUUUAAUAACUUUAAAUAUCUUGGUCUUGUUUGUUUUUUUAGGGGGUGGGGCCUGGUAACAUUUUAAAGCAAUCUUUUCAGAUAAAAAUUAGACUUUUUUGUUUGUGAAAAUGCCUAUUAUCUGGAACAAGUGAUAAUAUGGCCAUGCUUUCAAGGCCAGUGUAAUGUACCAAGAUGAGCAGUAAUGUGAGUGUAGAUUUGUAUGGAGAAAGAAAUCUUAGUCAGUUAAAGAAUAAAUAUAUAGAAAUGUGAAAGGUAAAUAUAUGUAUUGCAAACCAAUAAUGAUUCAGAUAAGUUUGAAAUUACUAAGGUGCAUUUUAAAAACAUAAGUAUGGAAUUGGGUUAACUUUAUAUAACCACAAAUAUUACUACCUUGACUGUUGCUUACUAGAAUACUUUUCCCUUAAUGAUUUUUCUUAAGAUUGUUGUAUAUAGCUUUUAGCAUGAGAUUAGCAAUAUUUUGCAUUAGAGAAAUUUACAGCUUUUAAUCAACAGAAAAUUAUACAAUAUGAGCUUGACUUGAGCUUUCAUAAUUGCAGGUUUUAAGUGUGUGUUCACUGAAAAUUAUUUUAUUUUAUAAGAUGAAAGUAACUCUGAAUUUUAUUAGCAUUUCCUUGAUUUAUAGUUGUAUAAUAGCUAACAUUGUGUUCAAAUCUUGUUGGGAACUUGAUUGCCUUGAUUUGUUUUUAGGUGGAGUGGGGAGUGUUUUGUUUUUUCUUUCAGAACAUUUUUAACAGAAUGGUGUUCACCUUCAAACUAAUGAAAAAAUUGUUGUUUUUGAAAGAUGCCAGUCAAGGUAUAAAGUGCAAAUGUUAACAAUUGGCAAGUGGCCUUUGCUUUCAUAUGCUAUUUUUUUUAGUGUUUUCAACUAUAGCUUAAUUUAUAAAAAUUAGAAUAUCAUGCGUAAACUAUUGUUCAUUUUCUGCCUGUGUAUUUUUACUUUGUGUUUUUGUAAGCUAUUCUGUCUUAUUAAUCAAAACUUAUUGGGGGUAAUAGGGUGGGGUCUGAUUUCUUUUUUUUAGUCUUUUACAGGGCUAUGAGUAAAAAGGUAUUUCCAGUUCACUUAUUUGCCAUCUAUCAUUCACGAGAGACUGAAUUGCCAUCACCAUUUGUAACAAAUUCAUUUAUUUAGGAAAGCAACUUCAUUAUUUAUUUUAUCAAGUAAAUGAUUUGAAGUGCUAGUAGUAAAAUAAGUCAUGUGUUGCAGUUAUCCUUUUCUAUCUUAAAUCACAAAGAAUUGAAAAUAAAUAUAUGCACUGAAAUUUGUUAAGUAAAGAUAUACUUCAAUUUAAGAUGUUAACUUAAUUGGGAGGGGGGAUUUUAUAUUUUUAAAGACUGUUGCAGAUAAAACCUGCUUAAAGUUGCUGAAACAUGGAAGAUACACAUCAAGAAUAAGAUGACGGACGUAUGUAGAGUCUGAAUUUUGUGUUGUAUGUUCUAUAAAAUUUCUUCUAUAGUUGAAAUUAAUUACACUUUAAAAAUAGUUGAAAUUGUAAGUGCUAAGUAAGUCUUAUAUUAAAAAGUAUUGAAGUAAAUUCUUUGAUUUUAGUAUAUGUAAAGUUUUAAUAAGUUUAAAUAUCUUAGUCUUGUUUUUAGGGGGGUGGGACCUGGUAACAUUUUAAAGCAAUCUUUUCAGAUAAGAAAAAGUAGACUUUUUUGUUUGUGAAAACGCCUAUUAUCUGGAACAAGUGAUAAGAUGGCCAUGCUUUCAAGGCCAGUGUAAUGUUCCAAGAUGAGCAGUAAUGUGAGUGUAGAUUUGUAUGGAGAAAGAAAUCUUAGUCAGUUAAAGAAUAAAUAUAUAGAAAUGUGAAAGGUAAAUAUAUGUAUUGCAAACCAAGAAUGAUUCAGAUAAGUUUGAAAUUACUAAGGUGCAUUUUAAAAACAUUAGUAUGUAAUCGGGUUAACAUUAUUUAACUACAAAUAUUACUUACUACCUUAACUGUUGCUUACUAGAAUACUUUUCCCUUUAUGAUUUUUCUGAAGACUGUUGUAUAUAUAGCUUUGAGCAUUAGAUUGAAUAUUUUACAUAAGAGAAAUUUACAGCUUUUAAUCAACAGAAAAAAAAAAAUUAACAAUAUUGUACUUGCCUAUAAAUGUUUUGUUUGUUGGGAGAUGUAUAAUGUAGUUGUAGGUGUCGCCAAUUUUAGUUGAAUUGGAAGGAAAACCAUAUUUUUUUCCAAGAACAGAUUUCUUAUCCUCUGAAAGGUGUUAAUGAAAGAUUGAUGGAACAUCAUUGUUCAAACAGCAAGUAAAUUAUUUAUUCUCCAAAGAUAUCUUAUUUGUGAAUAUUUGACUGUAGUGAUACAUUGUGCAGAUAUUGCAUUCCUUUGUCAUUAAUUAUCAUAGUUUCAGGCUAGAUAAAUACUUUUAUUAAAAUACAUGUAUAGUUUAGUAAAAGUGUAUUGUUAAGUAAAAUAUACAGGGGAGGGGUGAGAAUUUGAGCUGCUUUAUAUUUUAGGCUUGAAGAAAGUUAAAGUCCUAAUGAAUGCUAUGAAGUGCUGUGAUACUGGAGAAUGUAUUUUGAAGUAAAAUAUGUGUAAAGAUAGUUGAUUUAUAUUUAUUUACAGUUGUUUAUUAGACUUCUAUUUGUCUUUAUAAUCUUACAUGCUUAUUUAUCCACUUUCAUAAUAUAUUUAUAAUGACUUGUUUUGGAAAUGUUUUGACUAUUAUGCUUUUGUCAUAAGGUCUGAAAGUUGGUUUCCUUUAUUCAGUUGUUAAAAUUGCUGCAUUUCUCUGUUGGUAUUGUUUGUUUGGAUGGUUGUUUCCUUGAAGCUCUAUUUCAGUUACGUAAGCAUGAACCAGCAUUAUUGGAAUUCUGCCUGGGAAGCCCCUUUAGCUGAUGAGCACUAGAUCACUUUACAGCUAGUACCAAGGAAAAAUAAGAUAGAUAUGCAAAGCAAGUGUAGUAUAUGGUCAUUUAAGGUCAUUUUGUUUUGGACUAUCAAAUCACCAAUAUGGUCAGGGGGAUGAGUAAACAUCCUUUAGCUGGACUUGAGCACUGGGAAAUCAUACCUCCCCCUCCCACGACGGAGUAGGGUUGGGUAGCCGGCUCGCAGCAUGAUUUUACCUGACCUUUAGACCACAAAAUUUUAAAUUCUAAAUUUCAAGUAUUAGGAUUUUCUGUUUUUGUAAAAUAUAUUAUCAGUUUCAUGAAAAAAGUUUAUUUUAAACCACAAUUGAAAAUUUCUUCAUUAAUGGCCAAAGACUGCCAAUUGGACCUUCCUUCAAAUUUGAGAUAAUGCUGUCCUCCAUACUGCUUGUAAAAAAAGUCAGAUGUUAAAAGGCUGCAAUCAGAAAAAAACUUGAAAUGGACAAAUAAAUACUGAAUGUCCUUAUUUUACUGUUCUUUUUAAUGUUGCAUUUACAAGCUUGAAAUGGUAUAUGGUCCAAUUUGCUAGUUGGCAGCCUAUAUUAAACAUAGAGAACAGAUACAAUUAUUUACAUUUGGUGUAAAUUUAAUAAUAAAAAUCUUAAAUAAACUUUGGUUUAACUUUA